GUGGGGAAUCUUGCGCAAUGGGCGAAAGCCUGACGCAGCCAUGCCGCGUGAAUGAUGAAGGUCUUAGGAUUGUAAAAUUCUUUCACCGGGGACGAUAAUGACGGUACUCGGAGAAGAAGCUCCGGCUAACUUCGUGCCAGCAGCCGCGGUAAUACGAAGGGGGCUAGCGUUGCUCGGAAUUACUGGGCGUAAAGGGCGCGUAGGCGGACAGCUUAGUCAGAGGUGAAAGCCCAGGGCUCAACCUUGGAAUUGCCUUUGAUACUGGCUGUCUUGAGUUUGGGAGAGGUGAGUGGAACUCCGAGUGUAGAGGUGAAAUUCGUAGAUAUUCGGAAGAACACCAGUGGCGAAGGCGACUCACUGGCCCAAUACUGACGCUGAGGCGCGAAAGCGUGGGGAGCAAACAGGAUUAGAAACCCCAGUAGUCC
rnacentral:rRNA from 1 species